rnacentral:rRNA from 1 species
UACGGAGGGUGCAAGCGUUAUCCGGAUUCACUGGGUUUAAAGGGUGCGUAGGCGGACAUGUAAGUCCGUGGUGAAAUCUCUAAGCUUAACUUGGAAACUGCCAUGGAUACUAUAUGUCUUGAAUGUUGUGGAGGUUAGCGGAAUAUGUCAUGUAGCGGUGAAAUGCAUAGAUAUGACAUAGAACACCAAUUGCGAAGGCAGCUGGCUACACAAAUAUUGACGCUGAGGCACGGAAGCGUGGGGAUCAAACAGG